AGCAGUGGGGAAUAUUGCGCAAUGGGCGAAAGCCUGACGCAGCCAUGCCGCGUGUGUGAAGAAGGCCUUCGGGUUGUAAAGCACUUUCAGUUGGGAGGAAACGUUAUUCGUUAAUAGCGUCCAGCCGUGACGUUACUUUCAGAAGAAGCACCGGCUAACUCCGUGCCAGCAGCCGCGGUAAUACGGAGGGUCCAAGCGUUAAUCGGAAUUACUGGGCGUAAAGCGCGCGUAGGCGGUUUUUUAAUUCGGAUGUGAAAGCCCCGGGUUCAACUUGGGAACUCCAUUUGAUACUGGCAGAUUAGAGUCUGUAAGAGGGAGGUGGAAUUCCAGGUGUAGCGGUGAAAUGCGUAGAUAUCUGGAGGAAUCCCGGUGGGGAAGGCGGCUUCCUGGUUCAAUACUGCCGUUGAGGUGCGAAAGCGUGGGGAUCAAACAGGAUUAGAUACCCUGGUAUGUCCACCCCGUAAACGAUGUCUACUAGCCGUUGGGUGUCUUGACCUCUCAGUGCCGCAGCUACGCAGUAAGU
rnacentral:rRNA from 1 species